CCCCCCCCCCAUCCUUGGACCUACCCCAGAAGGUGUCGCAGCUCGAGGCCAGGCUAAAGCAGCUCCACAGCAACCUCCAGAAGGAGAAGCAGGGCAAGGUGGUUCUCCAGGUGGUAGUGGCCAAGCUGCACCACAACAUCCAGUGCCUGCAGCAGGAAUUGCACUCGGCCUCGUGCCAUCUCUGCCGCUUCGC